GAUGGUGUAUAUGGCACAUUCUCAACAAGUUUGCUCAGAAGUUAGGCAAGCGCAUCUACUAUCCUGAGUUUAAGGACGGACUGCACCAAGCCGUAUAUAACAGCCUUGACUGUGAGGAAUUCGAACAACGUUGGCCGGAGGUUAUUAAGAAGUAUGAAGCUGAUGAUGAUGAGUGGCUGGCAGGCUUGUAUGAAGAAAGGGCUAUGUGGGUUCCAGCAUAUGUGAAACACUUGUUUUGGGCCGGGAUGAAAACCACGCAGAGGGUCGAAAGUAUUCAUAGCUUUUUUGAUGGCUAUUUGAGCAAACACACGUUGUUACAUGAAUUUGUGGAGAGGUAUGAAGAAGCGCUCUCGGUUAGAGCAAAAACAGAAAAGAAGACUGACGACAACAAUGCCAGGUAUGUGAGGAAGGCCUGCACCGAUUUUCCUGCUGAGCUUUUCUUCUAGAAGAUUUACACGGAUGCCAAAUUCAAAGAAGUUCAGCGUGAAUUCACUCGUAUGAUAUAUGUCAACAGAAGACAUGUUUCCGAUCAUGUUGUUGAGCAUGUUGUCGAGGAUAGAGUUUGGUACAAGCCCCAAAUCUCUAAGAAAGAGUUGCCCUCCAAGCGUAAGCGAAGGUACGUGGUUACUCUUGACAUUGGUAGUAAGGAUGCUUGGUGUGAGUGUAAGUAUUUUGAAUGUCAUGGGAUUAUAUGUCGUCACAUAAUUAAGGUGUACGAGUUGCAUGAUCAUGUGGGUAUUCCAGAUAAGUUCAUCUUGAAGCGUUGGAGGAAAGAUGUGAUGCGGCCGUAUACCCGUGUGAAGGUUGGUUAUCAUGAUCCGAGUAAGACAGAGGAGGUUUGUAGGUUUGACAAGAUGAUGGUGAAGUUUGGUUCUGUUUGCUCUAAGUCGUCCUUUUGUAAAGAAACAACAACACUUGUUCUUGAUACGCUUCAGUUACUUGAGAUUCAAGUGGAGGAGAUGGUUGACAUGAUUAACAAAAAGGGUGACAAGAAUGGUUCUUUGGAAAAAGAAAAAGGAACUCCUGUUACUCCAUCCACGCAGAGGCAAGGAAGUUGCUCUGAGAUACCCAAAGAUCCUCCUAUUCCUAAAAAUCCGGCUCACCGCACAACAGAUGUGAGAUUCCCAUCGUGUAUUGAGAAAGCAAAGAAGGGUAACACUAAUCGACAGAGUUGUAGUAAAAAAAAAGGCUAAACGGCAACAAUGUAGCACUCCCUCCAGCAACCAGGGUUAUUUUUUCCCCUACAGCCCCCAAUCUGUCGGCGGGAUACAGAUGGUUGAUGGUGAUGGUUCUAUUGGGUACUUCACUGGUGUUUCUAGAGGCUCUGAAAGUGAUCUUCAGGCAAUGUAUAAGGCUGGUUGCAUUCCUUAUCAGUAUACACAUUAUAGGCCAAUGUAUCCAUUUGGUGUUUUGGCAGCAUCUCCCCAUUCCCCUCACACUCCUCGUUCUACAGCAUGUUCCACAGCUGGUGGCAGGCCUAUGUUCAGACCUAUUGCUCCAAAACCUCCGAUGUUCACCCAUGGUAAUAUACGCUACACAACUCCACCUCAUGCAUCGGUACACCCUACUAAUCAGCAGCAGCAGUAGCUCACCGUUUUUGGAAGCUUAACUGAUGAACUAAAAACAUA